rnacentral:sRNA from 1 species
GGGAGGCCGCCGGCUUUCUCCCUGCUUGCCGGGGUGGUCCUCUCCUCUUUGUCGGACCAAAGAAGUAAAUACUGUGUGGAGGGGGACUGACGUGUUUGGAGGGAAAUGGGAAGGUACACGAUAAUUAAAGAGUAAAGUUGUGCUUAACGCUGUUUACUUCUAAUUAUUUCCUGAUUCACAAAUUAAUUUUUGGAAUUAACAACUUCAAGAAUACUUGGACUGUUGGAUUCAAUCUGUAGUAAUCUGCAAAAGAAGAGAAGCAGAAUUAUACCUAGAAGUCUGCUAAUGGACAGUUAGUCACCCACCUACAUGUUGAGUUUCAGGAAUAAAAAGUACAAAAGAAGACUGGUUAAAAUGUGUUGCUACAAAGAAAAGGACACAGAAAGACAGCCAAGAGAAAGAUAAUGUUAAUUCAAGACUCUCAAAGAGAAGCUUCAGUGCAGAUGGAUUUGAGAUGCUACAAAACCCAGUAAAAGAUUCAAAAGAAAUGUUUCAAACCUACAAACAGAUGUACCUGGAGAAGAGAAGCAGAAGCCUUGGUAGCAGUCCUGUAAAAUAAUUACAAGAUGUGGUUUUGUAAUUGCCACUGGGAAAUUUCUUUCCUUUUCUGUUCAAAAUAUUUCGCUGAAACUAAUGAGAAAUGCCAUGAUAAAGAUUUCUCAGAGUUUGGUUCCCACUUUCAUUAUGUUUCAUUGAAAGUGCUUAAGAACUUUGGGUAGCCAUGUGUAAGAAAUGGAUGAUGUUCACCGGGGAAACAUAAGGUAUUUGAAUUUCUGCUUUAUUGAACCAGGUUUGCUAUUAUUUUAAAUGGAGUGCUUAUACAAAUCAAUUUGAAAUUCUACCCAUCUUGAGGGAGGACUGUUCCUCAGUUAAGGACUUGUUUAUUUAAAUGGGACUGUAAAUAUGUUUUGGUUUCUAAGCUAUAUUAGCAAAAUUUAUUUUUCAAAAAUGCC